CUAAGAGCGAAUGGUGGAUGCCUUGACUGGUAAAGGCGAUGAAGGACGUACUAGACUGCGAUAAGCUACGGGGAGCUGUCAAGAAGCUUUGAUCCGUAGAUUUCCGAAUGGGGCAACCCAAUGUAUAGAGAUAUACAUUACCUAUAUAGGAGCGAACGAGGGGAAUUGAAACAUCUUAGUACCCUCAGGAAAAGAAAUCAAUAGAGAUUGCGUCAGUAGCGGCGAGCGAAAGCGCAAGAGGGCAAACCCAGUGCUUGCACUGGGGGUUGUAGGACUGCAAUGUGCAAGAGGUGAGUUUAGCAGAACAUUCUGGAAAGUAUAGCCAUAGAGGGUGAUAGUCCCGUAUGCGAAAAACAAACCUUAGCUAGCAGUAUCCUGAGUAGGGCGGGACACGAGAAAUCCUGUCUGAAGCUGGGUCGACCACGAUCCAACCCUAAAUACUAAUACCAGAUCGAUAGUGCACAAGUACCGUGAGGGAAAGGUGAAAAGAACUGAGGUGAUCAGAGUGAAAUAGAACCUGAAACCAUUUGCUUACAAUCAUUCAGAGCCCUAUGUAGCAAUACAGGGUGAUGGACUGCCUUUUGCAUAAUGAGCCUGCGAGUUGUGGUGUCUGGCAAGGUUAAGCAAACGCGAAGCCGUAGCGAAAGCGAGUCUGAAUAGGGCGCUUAGUCAGAUGCUGCAGACCCGAAACGAAGUGAUCUAUCCAUGAGCAAGUUGAAGCUAGUGUAAGAACUAGUGGAGGACUGAACCCAUAGGCGUUGAAAAGCCCCGGGAUGACUUGUGGAUAGGGGUGAAAGGCCAAUCAAACUUCGUGAUAGCUGGUUCUCUCCGAAAUAUAUUUAGGUAUAGCGUUGUGUCGUAAUAUAAGGGGGUAGAGCACUGAAUGGGCUAGGGCAUACACCAAUGUACCAAACCCUAUCAAACUCCGAAUACCUUAUAUGUAAUCACAGCAGUCAGGCGGCGAGUGAUAAAAUCCGUCGUCAAGAGGGAAACAACCCAGACUACCAGCUAAGGUCCCUAAAUCUUACUUAAGUGGAAAACGAUGUGAAGUUACUUAAACAACCAGGAGGUUGGCUUAGAAGCAGCCAUCCUUUAAAGAAAGCGUAAUAGCUCACUGGUCUAGUGAUUUUGCGCGGAAAAUAUAACGGGGCUAAAGUAAGUACCGAAGCUGUAGACUUGAUUUUAUCAAGUGGUAGGAGAGCGUUCUAUUUGCGCCGAAGGUAUACCGGUAAGGAGUGCUGGAGCGAAUAGAAGUGAGCAUGCAGGCAUGAGUAGCGAUAAUUAAUGUGAGAAUCAUUAACGCCGUAAACCCAAGGUUUCCUACGCGAUGCUCGUCAUCGUAGGGUUAGUCGGGUCCUAAGUCGAGUCCGAAAGGGGUAGACGAUGGCAAAUUGGUUAAUAUUCCAAUACCAACAUUAGUGUGCGAUGGAAGGACGCUUAGGGCUAAGGGGGCUAGCGGAUGGAAGUGCUAGUCUAAGGUCGUAGGAGGUUAUACAGGCAAAUCCGUAUAACAAUACUCCGAGAACUGAAAGGCUUUUUGAAGUCUUCGGAUGGAUAGAAGAACCCCUGAUGCCGUCGAGCCAAGAAAAGUUUCUAAGUUUAGCUAAUGUUGCCCGUACCGUAAACCGACACAGGUGGGUGGGAUGAGUAUUCUAAGGCGCGUGGAAGAACUCUCUUUAAGGAACUCUGCAAAAUAGCACCGUAUCUUCGGUAUAAGGUGUGGUUCGCUUCGUAUUAGGAUUUACUCCGAAAGCGAAGAAACUUACAACAAAGAGUCCCUCCCGACUGUUUACCAAAAACACAGCACUCUGCUAACUCGUAAGAGGAUGUAUAGGGUGUGACGCCUGCCCGGUGCUCGAAGGUUAAUUGAUGGGGUUAGCAUUAGCGAAGCUCUUGAUCGAAGCCCGAGUAAACGGCGGCCGUAACUAUAACGGUCCUAAGGUAGCGAAAUUCCUUGUCGGUUAAAUACCGACCUGCAUGAAUGGCGUAACGAGAUGGGAGCUGUCUCAAAGAGGGAUCCAGUGAAAUUGUAGUGGAGGUGAAAAUUCCUCCUACCCGCGGCAAGACGGAAAGACCCCGUGGACCUUUACUACAGCUUGACACUGCUAUUUGGAUAAGAAUGUGCAGGAUAGGUGGGAGGCUUUGAGUAUAUGACGCCAGUUGUAUAUGAGCCAUUGUUGAGAUACCACUCUUUCUUAUUUGGGUAGCUAACCAGCUUGAGUUAUCCUCAAGUGGGACAAUGUCUGGUGGGUAGUUUGACUGGGGCGGUCGCCUCCCAAAUAAUAACGGAGGCUUACAAAGGUUGGCUCAGAACGGUUGGAAAUCGUUCGUAGAGUAUAAAGGUAUAAGCCAGCUUAACUGCAAGACAUACAAGUCAAGCAGAGACGAAAGUCGGUCUUAGUGAUCCGGUGGUUCUGUGUGGAAGGGCCAUCGCUCAAAGGAUAAAAGGUACCCCGGGGAUAACAGGCUGAUCUCCCCCAAGAGCUCACAUCGACGGGGAGGUUUGGCACCUCGAUGUCGGCUCAUCGCAUCCUGGGGCUGGAGCAGGUCCCAAGGGUAUGGCUGUUCGCCAUUUAAAGCGGUACGCGAGCUGGGUUCAGAACGUCGUGAGACAGUUCGGUCCCUAUCUGCCGUGGGCGUAAGAAGAUUGAAGAGAUUUGACCCUAGUACGAGAGGACCGGGUUGAACAAACCACUGGUGUAGCUGUUGUUCUGCCAAGAGCAUCGCAGCGUAGCUAAGUUUGGAAAGGAUAAACGCUGAAAGCAUCUAAGCGUGAAGCCAACUCUAAGAUGAAUCUUCUCUAAGCUCUCUAGAAGACUACUAGUUUGAUAGGCUGGGUGUGUAAUGGAUGAAAGUCCUUUAGCUGACCAGUACUAAUAGAGCGUUUGGCUUAUCU
rnacentral:rRNA from 1 species